rnacentral:rRNA from 1 species
CUGUUGCUGGCCUUGUUAAGAGGUAUGUGCACGUAUCUCUAAUCUAUUCAUCCACCUGUGCACUUUUUGUAGAAGUUCUUUUAGAUUGACUUAUGGGUUUCGACCUUGUAGUUUGAUUUCGAAGACUUCUAUGUCUUACAAACUAGUUAAGCAUGUUUUGGAAUGUCUUUUAUUGGGGCUUAAUUGACCCUUUAAACUUUAUACAACUUUCAGCAACGGAUCUCUUGGCUCUCCCAUCGAUGAAGAACGCAGCGAAAUGCGAUAAGUAAUGUGAAUUGCAGAAUUCAGUGAAUCAUCGAAUCUUUGAACGCACCUUGCGCCCUCUGGUAUUCCGGAGGGCAUGCCUGUUUGAGUGUCAUUAAAUUCUCAACUUCAAUAGUUUUUAAUAACUUAUUGAAGCUUGGAUGUGGAGGUUUGCUGGCGUCUUAGAUGUUCRGCUCCUCUUAAAUGCAUUAGUGGAACCCGUUUGUUGGAUUAUCCUUGGUGUGAUAAUUAUCUACGCUUUGGUUACUUCAAUGACUUUAUUGGGCUUUCUUCAGACGCUUUCAGUGUUCUGGUUUGGGUUUUUGCAUUAGUUUGCUAUACCUGGCUCAUUAAAGUAGGGAUUUUYUGCUCUCUAACUGUCUGUGUAUGCGGACAAUUACUUUGACUAUUUGACCUCAAAUCAGGUAGGACUACCCGCUGAACUUAA